rnacentral:lncRNA from 1 species
GCCACCGGCCUACACCAGAGCCACAGCAACACAGGAUCUGAGCCGCGUCUGCGACCUACACCACAGCUCACGGCAACGCCGGAUCCUUAACCCACUGAGCAAGGCCAGGGAUCGAACCUGCAACCUCAUGGUUCCUGGUCGGAUUUGUUAGCCACUGCGCCACGACGUGAACUCCCCUAAUUUUUAAUAGUAUGAGCACCACGCUGUAACCAACUGAGCUAACCAGCCCUUGAAUUUUUGACAGUAUUGAAUACUACUGUUUUUCUUCUGUGCUCUUUUCACACUUCUCUGUCUUUGCCUCUUUCUUUUCUCCUCCCUUUCUCACCCUAACAUGGCAUCCGAAUGAAGAGAUCCGAGAGAUUUUGAUGUGCACCACUUUCUCUUGUGUGGCUCAUUUUUAAUAGUGUUUUCCAAGGGGUGAAAAGAAACAGUCAUUGUUAUGGUUGUUAGAGCAAUAACAAUAGUCAUGAUGGUUAACAAUAACAGCAAUAAUAGUGAAUGUUGGCAUUAUUUACCUUCUUGAAGGAAUGAUGUGAGUACACUAUAGUCCAUUAUGUUAUAAAGUGCUCCUUCGAGAGAAUGCUCUGUGUAAAGUAUAGUAAUUAUUCCUAGAUUUCCAUUAUCGUUGGGUAAAGCACUGUUUGGAACAAUGAUGUGUGACUGUUUAUGUGGUUUUUUUUUGGUAUUGAUAAUACAAUCUCUGUGAAUUGAUUCUAGAAUAUUACUGUGUUAGAAUCAUAUUAAUGACAACUUUUCUCACUUAAGAAAUAGAUUGUUUUCAUUUGGAAAGUUCAAAGCCUUUACUUCCUAGGGUUAUUUCUCAAACAGCUCAAUUCUAUAUUGCAAAUAUUCACAAAAGGAUCUGGUAUUGUUUUUUUGCAAUAUUCAGUGCAGGACCACUUUGUUAAUCUAUCACUCCCACUUGUGACAGAAUAUGGAAAGGUCACUAGUGGACAUUUUUAUGGCAGCCUCAAAUGAUGCUUUUGCAUCAAUUAAAUUUAGAAUCUCCCAAGCUGCUAAAAGCAUAAACUCCUUUUGCUGAAAAGAUAGCUUCAUUUAUACUAAAUAUUUUUCAGGGAUGUUUAAAAUCGUGUACAUAUUCUCUAUGGGAGAUGUCUGUUUUCUUGAAAAUACAACUUGAUUCAUGACAGAAUUAUAGAGAGAUAAAAGGUGACCGUUUAACCUGCUCAUGUUCAUAAAUAUGCAGAGUUUGUUUGCAGGACUGAAAUUGUUUCUAGAUCAAGCAAAAGAUGAAAAUGUACUAAAAUGAAUGUACUUUCGUGGUCAACUUUAACACAGAAGCUAAAAAAUCUUCAUACAUAGGAAUAAAAUGGAAAGGAAAUAGGCUUUACCUGAAUCAUUGAUUAUUCCACUGAAGAUUAAACUGAAGAUUCAUUUAAAGGAGGAGAAUCUCAAUGACAAGCUCAGAUGAGAGGGUUUUAGGAGGCCAGUGAGGUUGCAGGGGUGAAGUCACAGGCAAAUAGGUCAGGAUGGCCCGGCUAUAAGGGCAUAACAGGAAGAGCUUGUCUGGGACAGAGGGGAAGAAAUGUACUCAGAGACUUAGUUGUCUUAUCGGAAACGAGAGAAGUGAAUUUAAUAAAGGCAGGAGUGACAGCACAAGUGACAAUUUAAAACAGAUUGUUACUGACACACUUGUUAAAACACCAUCAAGCAUGUGUGUUUGUAGAUGGGUUAUUCCUAGGUUGGAAAUGAAAUUUUAUGAUACCUUAAUGUAUACUGUAAGUAUACAUUUAUUUGAAAUAAUGUGCACAUGCUCAUUUAUAUCACAUUUUAAAAACGUGUUAAAAGAAAUCCUGAUUUAUUCCCAGAGAGUCUUCCUUUUACAUCAAAGAGUAGUAACUGAAACCUAAUCCUAAUCGUAACCCUUAGGAUUUAUGCAUUCACCCAUCAUGUUUUAUUUUCUUUAUUUACAUUAUUAUCCCACUAUCUUGAGCUUUUCAUUGCCAUUUUCUGUUUCAUUGUGUAGAGAUAAAUAAUAACAGUCAUUUCUGAAUCUUGAAAGAGCAUCAGCGGCCUCUUUUGUUCCCCAGGAGACGUGGACUUUCCCCUCCUGUGUGUGUUUUAAAUUCAGGUCCUUAUUCUUAUCUUGGGACUUGGGUGGCUGAGAACAGAGCAACUAUGUUGCUUCCGCUCUUGGUCUUGCUUUAUUUAGCCAGUCUACAUGGAGCACCAACUCUGUGCCAGGAGCUGUUCUGAGUUCUGGGGAGAGAUUGGACCAGGGAUGUUCCAUUCUAAAGAGGAGAAGCUAAAAAAUGAACACUAAGUAAAUUUUAAAUAUUGCUCUCUGCUGUUGAAAGAGGAAAGCAGGGAGAUAUAAAGGAGUAACUGGCUUGCCUGGGCCAUAUGAAGGCUUUAGAUUGAGAGACAAAGAUUUCUCCAAAGAAACAAAAUUUGAGCCAAGUUUUCCAGAUGGCUCAAACAUCAAGUGAAAAGACCUGAAGGUAGAAUAAUCUGAAUAUGAUCAAGGACAGAAGGAAGGUUGAUGGAAUUGAACAAAUGGGUUAAUAAAACUACAGUGAUGCCGGAAAGAUAGGCAGGGGCCAGAUCAUGGAAGUGUUCAUAGGCCAACAGAAUUUGAAGUUUAUGUGCAGUGAGGCUAUCUUUAGUUGCCAUUGUGGAGGUGGCAUUUAGCUUAAUCAAGGCUCUAACAUAUCCUGAAUUUUUUUCUUUAAAGAUGGAUUGAAGAAGGGCAAGAAUAAAGUCAGGAGGGUAGGUUGGAUGUGUUUGAGUGAAUCGAGGAUAGGAUGGCGAUAGGAAGUGGCACAAGGUAAAAUUGAACCAGUGGAGUAACAUUGAGUGGGCCUCUGCCACCUGUAGGCAAAGCAGGUGGUCACCUAUAGGAUUUGGUUUCAGUGCUCACUGUUGAGGUCAGUGAGGAUUUUCAUCUCCCACUUGUAUACUGCAACCGAUAAAAUAAUAUCCGUCGUUAGUCCUUUAGUGCUUGAACUAAAUUCUCCCUUUUCAAAUACAAGUACAUUUGUGAGAGAUGCUGUACCCAGACAUUAAAGCACAUUCAAUAAUCAUAACCUUUCUUAUGUAUCAUGGAAGGUUCCCUUCACCAGAAAAAUGCAGUUUCGUUAGGAGGGCAAGACAGAUACACGGGAAAACAUUAAAAAAUGUAGAAUUCCAAGUUCUUGAUCCACUGAUUUUCAGAGACCACCGCGUUAGAUUUUACUGCAUCCGCUCCAUGACAGCAUUACAUUGUCGCCACUGAGAAAAUGUUUAUUGACAAAUACUGCUGCACUCUCCAGCAUUCUCAUCGUAGUUUAGCAGUCUGAUUUUCCCGUGUGAUAAACACAUGUGGCUUUUUCAAGAAGCCCACUUUUGGAUGUUCACUUCACACAUGAUGAAGUGCUGGAUUCUUUUUCCUGAAGGGUAAUCAAAGAUGAUGAUGUUUUGGGGAGAUCAGUUUAAAUUCAAUUCUUUUGAGUUUCCUUAUAUAAUAUUGGGCUACCCUGCCAUGCUUUGAGCAAGAUAGCAUAUAUUUUAUGAGUCACAGCUUGAAAGAGAAACAAAUUCAACAGUAAGGCGUAAAUACCAGUCAAAAGUGGGGAUUCAAUCAGUACAUCAAGUAAUAUUUUCAAGGAUUCAUUAUAGAGAAACAUUCUAGGUACCUUGUAGGAUGUAAGGCCUCAGGGAGACUACAUAUAUGCUUAUAACAGAUAAUGGUACAUAAGACUUUGUAAAAUGGCUGGUACAGAGCAUUGCUAUAAGGUGUCCAAAAAAUUCAGGGGAGUCUGGAGGUGAUAGAGUCAGAAAGACAUUUUUUUAGAAGUCGUAGCACUUUAACUGGAUUCUGAAGGAUCCACACUGUUCUUCCGGGGAAGGAUAACAAAGGCUCGUGACCAGUGAGCCAUCAGAAUCAAUAAAAUUCUUGGCUCCUACCCCUUAAAUCUUAGGGAAAGGAAUAUAUGUAAUCUUAUAGUGGACAUUUCUGGAUGGAAAAGUUGAGUUCCAGGUGCUUUGGGGAAGCUCUUUAGAACUAAUAUAUGUAUGAAGCCCAUGCCUGGACUUCUAGAUGGAGAAUGAUAGAAAUAUCUGAUUAACCUUUUUGUCCUUAAUUAGUGACAAAGGAAGUAUAUAUAACAUCAACAGAUUGCAUCAAUCUGGAAGGAUGCCUAGAUAAGAGAGAUACUGAGGUGUGUUCCUUUGUGGUACAGUGGGUUAAAGAUAUGGCGUUGUUACUGCUGCAGCUUGGGUCACUACUGUGGUGAGUGUUUGAUCCCUGGCCCAGGAACUUCCACGUGUCUGGGGUGCAGACUCAGAGACAGAGAGAGAGAGAGGGAAAUGGUGAGUAUUGUGUUUCUUAUCAGAAUUUAUGGAUUCUGGCAUUAGUGGUUUAUCUUUAUUUUCCUUAUUAAUCAUUUGGAUUCUGUAAAUUCUUUUAAAAGAAAUAGACAGUCUAUGUAAUAACACCAUUAAAGGGAAUUUAAAAAGUUUUUAACUCCAGGCACAAUUAUUCAGGCAUAGGUACAGAAUACAAAGAGUUCAUAUUUCAAAUUGUUCUCUGGUAAGUAUGUUCAGUAGCACAUUUUUACUUUUAAUCUGGCAUGAAUUACUUUUUUUCUUUUGGAGUGGCUUCUUAUAGUCUAUAAUGGGUAAUGGGGUUACAAGUAGGUUAGCUUUUUCCAUAUCCGAUGAAAACUUUUUGUUCUAUUAGCCUUUCAUAGAUUUUAUUUUAUUUUAUUUUUUUUAUUUGAAAGGAACACACACACAUAAUCAGGUACUUUUUCUAUUCUCUUCUUAAAAAAGGAAAAACUGUUGGAGUUCCCGUCAUGGCUCAGUGGUUAAUGAAUCUGACUGGGAACCAUGAGGUUACGGGUUUGAUCCCUGGCUUUGCUCAGUGGGUUAAGGAUCCGGCAUUGCAGUGAGCUGUGACGUAGGUUGCAGACGCGGCUCAGAUCCCGCGUUGCUGUGGCUCUGGCGUAGGCUGGCAGCUACAGCUCUGAUUCGACCCCUAGCCUGGGAACCUCCAUAUGCCGCAGGAGCAGCCCUAGAAAA